rnacentral:lncRNA from 10 species
GGUUCGGUGUGGCCAGCCAGCCCAGAGAGCCAUGGAGCUAAUGACCUCAGAGCAAAACAGGCGCUUGGGAGCCGCUGGGUAUGAGGCGCCAGGUGUGACACCACCUCUGGAUGGGGCUGCUGGAGCGAGAGCGGGCAAGCUGGUACCGGGUGGGGUUGCGGGAUUAAUGACGCAGGCUGCAGCCGACCACCCCGGAAUCAGGAGCCGGGGUAGAUUCCUGGGCUCCUGAUGCGCUGUUCCCCGUGAAGACCACCUCUAGAUCUGGGAGAGCGGUUGCUACUCCCACCCUCCUUUCUCUCUCAGAACCCAGGUCUUUCCCACAAUGCAGACCUUCCCUGACCACAGCAGGACAAGCUAUUAAUAGGAUAAUAACAACAUAACAAAUACUAUUUAUUGAAGAAGUACUGCAUACUAGACCCUUUACAAAGCACGUUCCAUACAGUAUUAGGUUAUUUAUACUGCACACCAAUCCUUCAAGAUGGUUUUUUUUCUGUCAGUUUCACGGAUGAGGCAGGACGGGACGCUUCCUGUCAUUUUACCGUGACUUGCCCCAGGAGGUCACACGGUCAAGUGAAAGAUUCACACCUAUGUCGGCCUCCUGACAUUCAAACCUGCUCUGUCUUAAGAACCAAGCUUACUUCUCCGGAUCAGGGAGGAAGGGCUAGAAAGGAGAUCAAUGGCAGAGAGAGGAGUGGGGGUUCCUCCCCUCCCAUCCUUCUCUUAGGGCCAGGGCUGAGAGCAGUCCGGGAAUGCUGAGCAAGUUCUGUGUCUACCGCCAGGGGGAGACAGAGGCCAGGCUAAGCCCUUGCCUAAGAAGAGUAAAAGCACACUCACUGGAAGACCAGGACAGAGCCCAAUGCCUGGUUGGCUGCCCGUUCUUCCUAACUUCUCCCCUCUGGGAGAGGGUGGUACUGACCUGAUGCCACAAGAGCUCUGUCUCUAAACCUCCUAUCAGAAAGUUGAUCGCUAGGUAUCCACAGACACCACCCAUCCACACAUCUCAAAUGGGGACAACGCCGUUGUGGCCCUCAAGCAAGUUGGAAGUAGCCAUCAGGGACUACGGCACCCAGUUCACGGCUGGAACUUUUCUGGGCUCUGUCGGCCAGGUGCUUCCUGACCACAUACCACUUUGUUCCCCAGGCUAAACUGUGUCCCCAGAAGGGAUGACUUUCUUGGCAGCUUCCAAAUAAAGAUCCCACAGUGGUCCUUCAGGUUGGUAGACUUACUAUGCCUGCUUUGUUACACCUGAGCUUUAGGCAGAGAGAGACAGAGGAAAAGAAGUCACAGGAGAGAAAAAAAACAGACCCCAAGGCAAAUAGAGCAGCAAAAGAAGACGGGGACAAAGAACAGGCUGCUUCUAUAGGUUUUCCCCUGCUAUUUGAGAAAAACUGGAACCAACUCUCAGAUAAAUAACAGCAGCAGCAAGCCAGCAACUGAAGAAACAAAUAUAACUCCUGGUUGUUUUUAUUAUUCAGUGUUUCUGGGACAGUUUACUUACCACUUCUUCGUGUCACCCAGCUCCCUAUUCCCUGCCCUUUCUAGCACCCACCAUGGUGUGGCUGCAAGCUGUCCGCAAAGCUAAGCCAAGAGACCCCCCCAGCCCCAGCACCAGAUGAUCAGCAGGGAGAAUAACAGCUCCCUGGGGCUCCAGAACAGCCCCCAGCCAUGGCCUAAUCCUAAGGCUCCUCCUCCCUGAACCUCUCACCUCCUAUUCCUGGCACCAUUAUGCCUCCUCCAUCCUCAGACUGCCCCAGAACCUGGUGAGGUCAUCACCUCUACUCAUCCCUGAGGCAGCGGAAAGUGAGAGAGAAAAGGGGAUGGGGUAUGAAGAAGCAGACUUGUGGGAUGUUUUUCUCUGUGAAGAGUGAGACUCUGCUUAGUGGCUGGCCCUGCUGGGGGAGUGUGAAGCUUGAACCAAGGAGGGGGACUGGACAGCCUCAAGACAGGCCCCUUUAUCUCAGGCCACAGUGGUGGCUCAGGGCCCAGAACUGGUCAUCUUCUGCCUUGUCUCUCCCCUUCACAUCACCCUAAACCCAAAGGCCUCUUAAACUAAGAGGAAAGUCCCUUCAAAUUCACAGAACACCACUUCCUCUCAUUUGUCUAAUACAUUCGCAUCCAAAACAGAUCUCUGUAAAGAAUUA